CACUGACAAGGGACUCCCACGCACAGAGUCCAUUUCCCUAGAACGUUAUAAUCAGUCUUCCAGAUCCUUGGCCACUCAGAGGAGCACCUCGCACGUUUCAAAAGGUCGUUAAUGUUCCUCCUGCCCCUUCACUGAUGCUGACUGUGCCAGGCCAUCCUCUGAGCUCUGAUCUAGAGGAGCGCUGUAAGGCAGAGGCUGCAUAAAGAACCUGGCCUCCAUGAGUAGGAAUCCAGAAACACACUUGGCAGUCCAGCCCAUCUCUCCCAUGGGGUGGCCUUGGGAUAAAGAGCAUGGGCCCUUCUGCAGUGACAAAACUCAGAACUGUUGGAAAGUCAUGGACCUCACAGAAUCCUGAAAACAAAAAGAGAGCUGUGCUUCAUGAGUCACCUCUGACUUCAAGAGGAGCUGUCUUUUCCCUUGGCCCCAUUGCACGUGUUUUCCAGAACCACAACACCCUGCGAUGUCUGUAUCUGUGCCUGUCACUGUCUUAUUUAAGAAAACCCCAAACCACAUGAAUUGUGAUAAACAAAAGUAUUUUGAAUUCCACCCUUUAGGCUUAUUAUGACAUAAAAAAUCAU
rnacentral:lncRNA from 1 species